rnacentral:misc_RNA from 1 species
GAUGAAGAACGCAGCGAAAUGCGAUACGUAGUGUGAAUUGCAGAAAUACGUGAGCCAUCGAAUCUUUGAACGCACAUUGCGCCCGCUAGUAUUCUGGCGGGCAUGCCUGUCCGAGCGUCAUUUCAACCCUCAAGCCCCCGGGCUUGGUGUUGGGGAUCGGCGAGCCUCCGCGCCCGCCGUCCCCUAAAUCUAGUGGCGGUCUCGCUGUAGCUUCCUCUGCGUAGUAGCACACCUCGCACUGGGAAACAGCGCGGCCACGCCGUUAAACCCCCAACUUCUGAACGUUUGACCUCGGAUCAGGCAGGAAUACCCGCUGAACUUAAGCAUAUCAAUAAGCGGAGGA